rnacentral:rRNA from 1 species
AGUGAACGCUGGCGGCAGGCCUAACACAUGCAAGUCGAACGGCAGCACAGGAGAGCUUGCUCUCUGGGUGGCGAGUGGCGGACGGGUGAGGAAUAUAUCGGAAUCUACCCUUUCGUGGGGGAUAACGUAGGGAAACUUACGCUAAUACCGCAUACGAACUGAGGUUGAAAGCGGCGGACCGCAAGGCGUCGCGCGGAUGGAUGAGCCGAUAUCCGAUUAGCUAGUUGGCGGGGUAAAGGCCCACCAAGGCGACGAUCGGUAGCUGGUCUGAGAGGAUGAUCAGCCACACUGGAACUGGGACACGGUCCAGACUCCUACGGGAGGCAGCAGUGGGGAAUAUUGGACAAUGGGCGCAAGCCUGAUCCAGCCAUGCCGCGUGUGUGAAGAAGGCCUUCGGGUUGUAAAGCACUUUUGUUGGGAAAGAAAAGCGGUCGGUUAAUACCCGGUCGUUCUGACGGUACCCAAAGAAUAAGCACCGGCUAACUUCGUGCCAGCAGCCGCCGUAACAC